UUAUCAUCCACCUAUGCCAUUUCCCACCCGUGCAGCACUUAGUCAACUGGAGAAGGAACAUUUAGAGUUUGUGAAGCAUGUGAAAAGGAUUCUAUUUAAUACUCCCUUUGUUGAGUCCUUACCCAAAGCUUCCGAGAACCAGAAAUUACUGCAAGACUUGAUAGAUACGCGAAGGCAAUUAAAGAAACAGUCUACAGUGAUUCUAAGUGAGCAAAUUUCAAAAGUUGUGUUGGGAGAAACACCAGAAAAGAUGGGGGAUCCUGGACGCCUCACUCUUCCAUGCGAGUUUGGGAAUAAAAUGAAGGUUAAUGCUUUAGCCGAUUCCGGGGCUAGCAUUAAUCUAAUGCCUUUUUCAUUUUAUCAAAAAUUGGAGAUUCAGAAGAUGAAGGCUACAAAGAUGAAGAUUCACAUGGCGAACCGUUCAGUGACACAACCCCGAGGCAUAGUGGAGGAUAUUUUGGUGAAAAUCGGAAAAUUUGUUUUUCCAAUAGAUUUUGUAGUCUUGGACAUGAAAGAAGACACGGAUGUNAUGCUGAACCAGGCUCGCCACGACGUGGCACGCCUCUGGCCACGACGUGGCGCAAGUCUGAGCAAAAAUCUUUUGAGCCUAUUCCAGAUUAUCAUCCACCUAUGCCAUUUCCCACCCGUGCAGCACUUAGUCAACUGGAGAAGGAACAUUUAGAGUUUGUGAAGCAUGUGAAAGGGAUUCCAAUUAAUACUCCCUUUGUUGAGUCCUUAUCCAAAGCUUCCGAGAACCAGAAAUUACUGCAAGACUUGAUAGAUACGCGAAGGCAAUUAAAGAAACAGUCUACAGUGAUUCUAAGUGAGCAAAUUUCAAAAGUUGUGUUGGGAGAAACACCAGAAAAGAUGGGGGAUCCUGGACGCCUCACUCUUCCAUGCGAGUUUGGGAAUAAAAUGAAGGUUAAUGCUUUAGCCGAUUCCGGGGCUAGCAUUAAUCUAAUGCCUUUUUCAUUUUAUCAAAAAUUGGAGAUUCAGAAGAUGAAGGCUACAAAGAUGAAGAUUCACAUGGCGAACCGUUCGGUGACACAACCCCGAGGCAUAGUGGAGGAUAUUUUGGUGAAAAUCGGAAAAUUUGUUUUUCCAAUAGAUUUUGUAGUCUUGGACAUGAAAGAAGACACGGAUGUUCCGAUAAUCCUUGGUCGGCCAUUUCUUAACACUGCUGGUGCCCUGGUUGAUAUCCGCGAGUCCAAGCUCACUUUGAGGGUUGGGGAUGAACAAGAAGUCUUCGGGAUAAGAAAUGACUUUCAAGAAGAUAAAGAAGAGGUGUUCACGAUUAAUGAGGAGAAUGAACUAGAAGAGUUGGAAAAGCUUAUGGAAGAAGAGAUAAAGGCAGUUCAUCAAGACAAGAGGACAAAACCAAGGGCAUCUGUUCCGUAUUUGAUUGAAGUCAUAGCUUACAAGAACCCGCCUUCUUGGGUGAGCAAAGAGGACGAGGAAAUGACAAGUGAUGAAGAGGAAGUCACUUCAAAAGUAACAAGGCCAGUGGUGAAAGAAGAGGGGAACGCUAUGGAGUGCAAGGAACACACAAAGGGCACAAAACGCAAGCAUGAAGAAGAUGGAAAAGCUAAAAAGGAAAAUUCAAAGAAGGCAUAUAAAAGA
rnacentral:lncRNA from 1 species